UACGUAGGUCCCGAGCGUUGUCCGGAUUUAUUGGGCGUAAAGCGAGCGCAGGUGGUUUAUUAAGUCUGGUGUAAAAGGCAGUGGCUCAACCAUUGUAUGCAUUGGAAACUGGUGGACUUGAGUGCAGGAGAGGAGAGUGUAAUUCCAUGUGUAGCGGUGAAAUGCGUAGAUAUAUGGAGGAACACCGGUGGCGAAAGCGGCUCUCUGGCCUGUAACUGACACUGAGGCUCGAAAGCGUGGGGAGCAAACAGG
rnacentral:rRNA from 1 species